rnacentral:rRNA from 1 species
GUCAGCAGCCACAUCACCCUGGAGCUCACAGCUCACCGCUGGCAGCCCCCUGGAGCCCAGCAGGUGUGAGCCUGGUCAGUACCGGGAUGGGAGACUCUUGGGAAAAACUAAGGUUGCUGCUGAAA